AUUGGCAUAGUUUAUGGAAAAAAUUCCUUCCUUACAAGAAGGGGAACCUUGAAGGUGCUAAUU
rnacentral:tRNA from 1 species